GCCACUCAGUCCUUUGCCAUCAAAUGUUCAUACCUAGCUCAUAUACAGCAGUACAACACUUAAAAGUACUUAGGGCUGUGCAUAGUGGCACACACCUGUAAUCCCAGCGUCUCAGGAGGCUGAGGUAGGAGGAUCACAAGUUCAAAGCCAACCUCAGCAACAUGAGGCCCUGAGCAACUUGGUGAGGCCCUGCCUCAAAAUAUAAAUAAAUAGAUAGAUAGAUAAAUAGGGCUGUGGGUGUGGCCCAAUGGGUAAGUGCCCAUUGAGCCCAUUAUUGGGUUUAACCCCCAAUACUAGAAAAAUAAUUAACUAAAAUAUCUUUGGGGCACAGCUGAGUGGUAUGUGGCUGCCUGGUAUACACAAUGUCCUGAGUUCAACCCCUAGUAAUACAAAAAGAAAGAAAAGAAAAAGUAAUUGCACAACUUUUAAUUCCCUAUGUCUCCCUGAGUAAAGGGCCCCUGGGUUUGAAAGAAAGGGAAGGAGGGAGGAGGAAAGGAAGGAAGGAAAGGGAAAGGGAAAGGCCAGGCCGUCGUCCCCAUUUCUCUCCCAGGCCCCGCCUGCCACCUCCAAGCCUCCUUGCCUGGGCAGUUCCUGUUUUACUUUGUACCAUAUCUGCCCAUUUAAAAAGCAUUUGUUGAAAUCUAUUGGAUCUUUUGAAAUGACGGAGCCUUUGAUCCCUCCCUGCCUC
rnacentral:lncRNA from 1 species